rnacentral:rRNA from 1 species
CCUACGGGCGACAGCAGUGGGGAAUAUUGCACAAUGGGGGAAACCCUGAUGCAGCGACGCCGCGUGAGUGAAGACGUACUUCGUUAUGUAAAGCUCUAUCAGCAGGGAAGAAAAUGACGGUACCUGAGUACUAAGCCCCGGCUAACUACGUGCCAGCAGCCGCGGUAAUACGUAGGGGGCAAGCGUUAUCCGGAUUUACUGGGGGUAAAGGGAGCGUAGACGGCAGUGCAAGUCUGGAGUGAAAGGCGGGGGCCCAACCCCCGGACUGCCCUUGAAACUGUACGGCUGGAGUGCAGGAGAGGUAAGCGGAAUUCCUAGUGUAGCGGUGAAAUGCGUAGAUAUUAGGAGGAACACCAGUGGCGAAGGCGGCUUACCGGACUCUAACUGACGCUGAGGCUCGAAAGCGUGGGGAUCAAACAGGAUUAGAUACCCUUGUAGUC